rnacentral:rRNA from 1 species
UACGUAGGGGGCUAGCGUUGUCCGGAAUCAUUGGGCGUAAAGCGCGUGUAGGCGGUCCGGUAAGUCCGCUGUGAAAGUCGGGGGCUCAACCCUCGGAUGCCGGUGGAUACUGUCGGGCUUGAGUACGGAAGAGGCGAGUGGAAUUCCGGGUGUAGUGGUGAAAUGCGUAGAUAUCCGGAGGAACACCAGUGGCGAAAGCGGCCACCUGGACUGCACCUGACGCUGACACGCGAAAGCUAGGGGAGCGAACGGG